rnacentral:rRNA from 1 species
AUUCCGAUAACGAACGAGACUCUAGCCUGCUAAAUAGGUGACGGGUUUUAUCAAUUGAAACCGAAGGGAGUACGGAGGCGUCGGGAUCAGGUGGCGGCGAUUCGGGUCUCGGUGGGACUGGUUCCUUUAGUGAGGCACACUCUCGGCUUGGAUUUCGUUGUGCUUUUUGUUGGGUGUACGGCCUUCACGGGUUGGUUGCCUGAUGGGAGGUAUGGCGGGGUCUUUGUCGGGAAUGUCUCGCGGGGGCUGGCUCUAUUGUUAUUCGGUCGUCGUCAUCCCCGGCGAUACCUUCUGCUCUCGCGUCCGUCACGCAGUCUUC